GCCUCUAUAUUUUAGUGGUAGAAGCCGUGCCUCGUAUACAAAGUUGUCGCUUCACUGCGAUAGAGAGCUUGUUAGCAUGUGGCCCGUGUUCGAUUCACGGUGGAGGCA